rnacentral:rRNA from 1 species
CCUACGGGUGGCAGCAGUGAGGAAUAUUGGUCAAUGGGCGCGAGCCUGAACCAGCCAAGUAGCGUGAAGGAUGAAUGUCCUACGUGUCGUAAACUUCUUUUAUCAAGGAAUAAAGGCGGGCACGAGUCCCUGUAUGAGUGUACUUUAUGAAAAAGCAUCGGCUAACUCCGUGCCAGCAGCCGCGGUAAUACGGAGGAUGCGAGCGUUAUCCGGAUUUAUUGGGUUUAAAGGGAGCGUAGAUGGGUUGUUAAGUCAGGUGUGAAAGUGCGGGGCUCAACCGUAAGAGUGCAAUUGAUACUGGCAGUCUUGAGUACAGGUGAGGUAGGCGGAAUGCGUGGUGUAGCGGUGAAAUGCUUAGAUAUCACGCAGAACCCCGAUUGCGAAGGCAGCGUACUAA